AGCGAACGCUGGCGGCAGGCUUAACACAUGCAAGUCGAACGGGCGUAGCAAUACGUCAGUGGCAGACGGGUGAGUAACGCGUGGGAACGUACCUUUUGGUUCGGAACAACCCAGGGAAACUUGGGCUAAUACCGGAUAAGCCCUUACGGGGAAAGAUUUAUCGCCGAAAGAUCGGCCCGCGUCUGAUUAGCUAGUUGGUGAGGUAACGGCUCACCAAGGCGACGAUCAGUAGCUGGUCUGAGAGGANGAUCAGCCACACUGGGACUGAGACACGGCCCAGACUCCUACGGGAGGCAGCAGUGGGGAAUAUUGGACAAUGGGCGGCAAGCCUGAUCCAGCAAUGCCGCGUGAGUGAGGAAGGCCUUAGGGUUGUAAAGCUCUUUCACCCGCGACGAUGAUGACGGUAGCGGGAGAAGAAGCCCCGGCUAACUUCGUGCCAGCCGCCGCCGU
rnacentral:rRNA from 1 species